rnacentral:rRNA from 1 species
GGUGGGUAGUUUGACUGGGGCGGUCUCCUCCUAAAGAGUAACGGAGGAGCACGAAGGUUGGCUAAUCCUGGUCGGACAUCAGGAGGUUAGUGCAAUGGCAUAAGCCAGCUUGACUGCGAGCGUGACGGCGCGAGCAGGUGCGAAAGCAGGUCAUAGUGAUCCGGUGGUUCUGAAUGGAAGGGCCAUCGCUCAACGGAUAAAAGGUACUCCGGGGAUAACAGGCUGAUACCGCCCAAGAGUUCAUAUCGACGGCGGUGUUUGGCACCUCGAUGUCGGCUCAUCACAUCCUGGGGCUGAAGUAGGUCCCAAGGGUAUGGCUGUUCGCCAUUUAAAGUGGUACGCGAGCUGGGUUUAGAACGUCGUGAGACAGUUCGGUCCCUAUCUGCCGUGGGCGCUGGAGAACUGAGGGGGGCUGCUCCUAGUACGAGAGGACCGGAGUGGACGCAUCACUGGUGUUCGGGUUGUCAUGCCAAUGGCACUGCCCGGUAGCUAAAUGCGGAAGAGAUAAGUGCUGAAAGCAUCUAAGCACGAAACUUGCCCCGAGAUGAGUUCUCCCUGACUCCUUGAGAGUCCUGAAGGAACGUUGAAGACGACGACGUUGAUAGGCCGGGUGUGUAAGCGCAGCGAUGCGUUGAGCUAACCGGUACUAAUGAACCGUGAGG